CCAGUAUUUUCUUCCAUUUAUGGAUUUAUCCUGAUGCAGUGAUAAUGCCGAGAUUCAUAUUUUUGGCAAGAGCAACAUUUGGAUCCCUGAAGAAUAAAGACCUCUCUUGAGAAGAUGGUGCCAAAGAGCUGGUUCAGGUCAUUGGAAAAAGUAAAUGGGUGUGUGACAUCACUUCCUAUGACUGAUACAAAUGCUGGGAACAGUGGCAGGAGACUGAUAGCCUGCCUUUAACCCUUUCCAAACAAGCCAUCUUGUGGGCAGAUGUUGACCACACCUUCCUGCGCAUCUUUCUAGAAGAG